UCUUUGGGAUAACGCCCGGAAACGGGUGCUAAUACUGGAUAUUCACUGGUCUUCGCAUGGGGGUUGGCGGAAAGGGUUUUUCUGGUGGGGGAUGGGCUCGCGGCCUAUCAGCUUGUUGGUGGGGUGAUGGCCUACCAAGGCUUUGACGGGUAGCCGGCCUGAGAGGGUGACCGGUCACAUUGGGACUGAGAUACGGCCCAG
rnacentral:rRNA from 1 species